rnacentral:rRNA from 1 species
GCGGAGGAAAAGAAAAUAACAAUGAUUCCCUCAGUAACGGCGAGUGAACAGGGAAAAGCUCAAAGUUGGAACCUCCUAGCCCUAGGUUAGGCGGAUUGUAAACUAAAGCUCUUGGGUAGUACGGUUGGCCUGGUAAAAAAGUUUUCUGGAAAGAAGCGACAUAGAGGGUGAUAUCCCCGUCUUUGGCCAGAGCUCAAUCAUGCGUUUGCCCUUUAGCGAAGAGUCAGGUUGUUUGGGAAUGCAGCCUAAAAUGGGAGGUAAAUCUCUCCUAAAGCUAAAUAUUGACGAAAGACCGAUAGCGAACAAGUACCGUGAGGGAAAGAUGAAAAGCACUUUGAAAAGAGGGUCAAAAAGUACGUGAAAUUGCUGAAAGGGAACCGUAUGAAAUCAGUCUGAUGUGUUGGUAAUCAAUCUAGAUCUCGAUCUGGAUGCACUUGCCAAUGUAUUAGCCUGCGACAAUUUGAUUUGGAGGAAAAAAGAUGGGAGAAUGUGGCCUUGGUUUUCAAUCAAGGUGUUAUAGCUCCUGUCAAAAUACUUUGGAUUGGAUUGAGGAUCGCAGCGAGCCGCAAGGUAAGGGUCUCGGGCGCUUGGUUUGUUCAAAAAAGGAAUCUCUGCUUCGGGUGGUGCCUUUUUUGAACGAGCCAACUCGUUUGUUUCUCCUUUUUCUCGCUUAGGUCGUAGGCAUAAUGAUUUUAUAUGAC